rnacentral:rRNA from 1 species
UACGGAGGAUGCAAGCGUUAUCCGGAAUGAUUGGGCGUAAAGGGUCCGCAGGUGGCAGUGUAAGUCUGCUGUCAAAGAAUGAGGCUUAACCUCAUAAAAGCAGUGGAAACUACAGAGCUAGAGUGCGUUCGGGGCAGAAGGAAUUCCUGGUGUAGCGGUGAAAUGCGUAGAGAUCAGGAAGAACACCGGUGGCGAAGGCGUUCUGCUAGGCCGCAACUGACACUGAGGGACGAAAGCUAGGGGAGCGAAUGGG